UGGAAAAACAAACUGUUUUAAAAAAUGUGUUCCUAUGAUUUGUAUUUGAAAAAGUCCUAAUUUAAAAAAUUUAUUACUUAUUUUUUUUUCACAUUUCUAUUGGUAUUAAACUAACAGCUUGGAAAUAUUCAUCAUCUGAUAUGGAUAUCAGUCUCAAAAGAGGAGAUAAAAUAUCUGUUCAUUUCUUAUUCUUCUUUAUUCCAUUGUAAAAAGUCUCUAUUUGGAAAUUAAUUUCAAGCAUACUUAGAUUAUUGUACUGAUGUACUUUUGUUUGAUGUUAUAUUUUUUUUAGAGAAGAUCAAUUAGGCAUUUAUAAGGCUUACAAGAACAUUUUAUAUAAAUAAGGCAGUUAGUUUUCUCGAUUGAAUUGUUAAAAUUGUUAUUUCAGGGCCUUUAAUAGCUGACUAUGUGGUAUGGGCUUUGCUUAUGAUUGAAAGCAGUACGGUGACUAUUAUAUUUGUGAAUUUCUGUGUCAUUUUGGUCUCUUGUGGACAGAUGUCUCAUUGGCAAUCAUACCACAUCUUUUUUAUAUGUAUUUAACAACAAACCGAUGAUCCAUUUUAAUGUAAAUUCCUUAGGAACAGAAUGUUACCUAAUUUAAUGUAAUAAUUAAGUUCAUAU
rnacentral:lncRNA from 1 species